AUUGGUGUUCGUCGGAUCCGUCGAACCCCUUUUCUAGGACGAAAUCGUGUGCUGCUGUACCGACUCGCUGGACCGAACCAGCGCGGUGGCCGUCCGUCUCGACGAGCUGCGAGCUGCACCCAAACAAUCCUUCACCGGCUUCUGUACUGUCUCCCUACACAAGCGCCUCGCCGACCUCGAGGCCUGCGUCUCCGCCGCCGCGCCAGACUGCAGGUCCACCUCCGCCAUCCGCUCGCUCUACUUUCAAUGGCGUCGCCGCGUCGGCGCGGUGCCGUCGGGCUCCGGCGCUACUGCCCUGCCUUUGAUGAGCGAGUGCAAGACAGGCACCUCGCAGAUCGCGGACACCAUCCCGAAAGAGGAGUGGCGGCAUACGAGUAGGGAGAGGUCAGGGCGAAGGGGGCGAGGAACAAGAGAAGGCUGCCGCCGUUUGGGCGCGGAGGGCGACGACCUCGUUCCCGGCGAGCGGCGGCGCCGGUGCCGGCGAAAAUACCUGUGCCAGCUACGGGUCUUCAGUUCUAGACAGGGGAGAGAUGGGCCGUGCUCCAUUUGGUUUGGGUCGGGUGCAGCCAGGGGCAGGUUGGUCUUGAACAUUUGGUUGCUAUCCUCAAAGUAAUCUAGAUUAAUGUAAAAGGGCAAAUCAUCAAAUGCAAAAGUAAUUUGGGGCAAAAAAGAAAGCCCCUUGUAAAUGAGGGCAAAACGUAGAGUGACAAGAGUAAAUAGGGGCAAAAAAAUAAAAUUCCCCCAGAACGUGGCCCAGUUUGAUCUUUUUCUCCUACCUCUGGCGAGUCCGCCUGAGUAGAAUGCCGAGGCGGCCGACUCGUUCGGUCGUUACCUUCCUCCCCCUCCGGCCAUCUCCCCUCGCCGCCUCGCCUCCUCCCUAAACCGCUGCCCCUACGCCCGCGGGCGGCCGCUCCCCCCAAUUCUCGCUGCCCGGGCUGUCAGGCGCUCGGCCGCUCGCCGCUCGCCGCUCGCCGCUCGGACACCGGGCAAGCAAACGCGUAGUGGCACAGGGCAAGAGCAGGAGCGAGCAGCGCUAGCGACAUCAGGCCCAGAGUCCAGAUCAGAUGCAGCAGUGCCAAUCUGUUGUCUCGUUCUCUCCACUGUGCCGAGCUGUAGAGGAGGCAAUAGUGGGAAGGCGGGAUUUGGAGGGUGGCAAUGGUGGGUGUGGGUGGGGAUCCGCUGCACAUAGAAGGAAUAUGGAUGAAGAACAUGCCUGCUCAGGCUGCGGCGUGAACUUCUCGGUGCCGAAGGUGAAGUGGCGGUGUCCAACUCUAGAAAGAGGGACUCGGUGGGCGGCCCAGCGGGUGGAGUAAGCCUGCCGCGGAUCGUCAGCACUUGGGCAUUUAGUGGGUAGCGUCACACGCCGCCGCACUUGUAAGGUAAACAUACUCCGCAAUGCUCUGUUUACAUCAGAUCAAAUAGCUAGCAGUGAAUCAUAGAUGAGAGAUGCGGUCAUGGCAACUUGUUUAUCUGUGUGGUAGUAUAGCCGGGUAAAUUCAGAAGGGAGUAAAAUUCCUAGUGAGGCAGAAGCAAAAUGUAGAGAGCACAUAAAUUGCUCCGUAAGGUUUAGAGAGCACAGAAAAUGACUAAGAACAAUAUCGUCGUGCCAGGAGGUGAAUCAAGCUGAUAUGCUACUCUUAA